rnacentral:tRNA from 1 species
UAGCCUAGUGAUUAAGGCUAUGGAUCGCUAAUCCGGAGACGGCGGGUUCGAUUCCCGU